UCUUUUUGUUUUUAUUUAAGGUCAGACCUGCCCAAUGAGUUUUAAAUGGCCGCAGUAUUUUAACUGUGCAAAGGUAGCAUAAUAAUUUGUUUUUUAAUUGGAAACUGGCAUGAAUGGUCAAACGAAGGGUUAACUUUCUUUAUCUUAUUUAAAAUAAAUUUAUUUUUCUGUGAAAAAGCAGAGAUGUUAUUAGAAGACGAUAAGACCCUUUAAAACUUUAUUUGACUUUAGAAGUAUAAAUGUAUAGGUGUUUCUUUUCUGCUUUUAUUAUCAAAUUUUAUUGGGGCGAUAGAUAAAUUUAUAUAACUUUAUUUUAUUAUUUUCAUUAAUUAAUGUUUUUAUGAUCCAGUUUAUUCUGAUUAUAAGUUUAAGUUACUUUAGG
rnacentral:rRNA from 1 species